AAGUUAAAACCAAAUCAAAAGGCAUAUUCAUCAAUUACAAUCUCAACCACCACCACAAUUACAAACCAAACAUUUCAACCCAACAAUUCGUUAGGCAAGUCCUCCAAGACGGCCACGACACCGAUCAUGUUAUUUUAACUGUAACUAAAGAAUCCGAACUUUUAACUCUCGGACUAGUCCAGAACAUCAACCUCUGGACUGGUAUGGAGGUUUAAGUCCCGGAGGGUAGUCCCGACAUUUUUUUAAAAAGGCUAGGGUGGCAAUUCUAAAACAGGGGGUGGGAAAUCUAAUUCCCUCCCUUAGGUUUGAUCAUAGUCGUUGACAUACUGACUUUCACUCUUCCAUAACAUCUGAAACAUCUCCUUCUCACCUUCUCCCUUUUCACUCUCUCUGUAGUUAUGAGCAUUGAUCAUACCACACCUUUCUUCUUAUGCCUUCUGGAUUCUGCGUUAUGCGUUUUGAUUGAAGAACUUAAAUCAACAUCAGGAAUUGGAAAAUUUGAGAGAUAACCAUCACGACGAUUGCUGAAACCAUCGUUGCUUCUCUGAACCGAAAGCCUUUUUUCUAAUUUAGGGACCUAUCUUCUCUUAUUCAUCAGAUCAAUACUGCCCGAAAUCUCACCGGUAGUUGAAUUGUAAUUUUUUCCUUGGACGGCUGCUGGGUCCUGGUCGAUGGAGGUUCGGUGGCAAAGAAGCCAUCAGAGGUGCGUAAAAGUCUCUUCCAUUUCAUGGGCCUGUGAAGGUGAUUUCUCUCUGGCCGCUAAAAUAGCUUAUCUGAAGGAUUUCUAGCCGCACUGGAUCUUCUCCUUUCGGAUAAGGCCUUUGUUUAGGCAGCAAUUGGGAUGGCAGUGGUGCAAUGUAAGGUGCCUUCUUCUUUUACUCUUUCAGCCAGUCCUUUGGUCCUGCUGGGCACCAAUUUCAGGAAUUAGGGUUCACAAAAAGUAAGCAAUGAAAAAAGGGCAGAGGAUGGAAUGCAGAGCAACAGCGUAUCCGACAAGUCGUGCGCUGCCUCCUCUGACUAUUACCAUUGAUGGAAACGCAUCGGAUCCAAACUUUACUUCUCCAGGUUCUCCUAUUAAUAACCACUUCUUGAAAUCACCAUUUGAUUCCCCUGUUUAUUCUUACUUGCAAUUUUCCUGUUUUUGGUAUUUCAUGGUUUUGGUGAGUUCAGAGACUCCCCUUUCCUGCUUUGGUCUCCUAGGUUUUUCCUUCGCAAUUGGAUGUUGUUUGUUUAAAUUUUGGCUGUUCAUUUUUUAAAACCACUUCUUCUAUAGGUUCGUUUUCGGGCGGCAGUGAUCUUCACAAUCCCCUUCUUCAACACCGUUAAGAACUAAGAACCAAGCGAUUUCUAUUACAUAGGUGAACUUCAUCUUCCUCCUCUUCAUAUCGAGCAAAAGGAUUCAGUCACGAUGUUCUUUCAUCCGUCUCCACACUUGGUUAGAAUCUGAAUGAAUGAUGGAUGAGCUCCAUUUUUCCACCAGUUUCCAGACCCGAUGAGUAAAUUCUACCUUUUGUUUUGCAGUUUUCUUUCAGGUCACUAUUUCCUUGGGAUCACCUGUUGUGGCGAUUUGAAAAGUGAUGCAAAUUAAAUGGUUACCAAGGGAGCCAAUGUGAGGUGUCGUUUCAGCAAAUCAACAAACCUUAUGAGUUAUGACAUGAUAUCCUCCUUCCUCAUUCCUGGCGUGCUCCUCUUAUUUGCAUCCCUAUGACUAUACAUUGAGCAGGUUUCUUGACUAUAUGCAAGGAAGUUUACCUUCAUACUGAAAAGAAGGCAGCUUCAGUUACACCUUGGCCUACCACAUAAACUAAGAGGAAGAAAAAUUAUGUACGCAUCGGAUGUGAUGCUGCCUUAGCAUCUAGAAUAUCUUCGGAUGAUGGGCACUUUAAACAAAUCAAGUCACCAAAUAAUCAAUUUGAUCAUAUCCUAAACCCUUUUCACUAUUUGUUUUUUUCUAAAAUUUGAUCAUAUCCUACCCCGAAUGAUAGCUCAAGUGCUAAGAGCUGGGGAACAUAUGGGUUAGGAGGGGAAGGUCCAGGGUUCAAUCCCUGGCGGGUGCAAUUUAAAUGCCGAUGUACAAAAAAAAAAGACAUGAUCAUUGCUAGCUAUUUAAGUUUGUGUUCAUUUAAUAAAAAAGUUUGUGUUCACUGUUUA